GGCGGGGCUACGCGUGCGUGUUGAGAGGCCCGGCGGUGGCGGCUGGCGGCGGCAGCUGUGAGGGGGUUCCCGGAAGAUGGUGCUGAUUAAGGAAUUCCGUGUGGUUUUGCCGUGUUCUGUUCAAGAGUAUCAGGUUGGCCAGCUUUACUCUGUUGCAGAAGCGAGUAAGAAUGAAACUGGUGGUGGAGAAGGAAUUGAAGUCCUGAAGAACGAGCCCUAUGAAAACGACGGCGAGAAGGGACAGUACACACACAAAAUCUACCACCUGAAGAGCAAAGUUCCUGCAUUUGUGAGGAUGAUUGCUCCCGAGGGCUCCUUGGUGUUUCAUGAGAAGGCCUGGAAUGCUUACCCCUACUGCAGAACAAUUGUAACGAAUGAAUAUAUGAAAGAUGACUUCUUCAUCAAAAUCGAAACAUGGCAUAAACCUGACUUGGGAACAAUAGAAAAUGUUCACGGUUUAGAUCCGAACACAUGGAAAACUGUUGAGAUUGUCCACAUAGACAUUGCAGAUCGAAGCCAAGUUGAGCCAACAGACUACAAAGCUGAUGAAGACCCUGCAUUAUUCCAGUCAAUCAAGACCAAGAGAGGCCCUCUGGGACCUAACUGGAAGAAGGAGCUGGCGAACACCCCUGACUGUCCUAGGAUGUGUGCCUAUAAGCUGGUGACCAUCAAGUUCAAGUGGUGGGGACUGCAGAGCAAAGUUGAGAACUUCAUCCAGAAGCAAGAAAAACGGAUAUUUACAAACUUACAUCGCCAGCUCUUUUGUUGGAUUGACAAGUGGAUUGACCUGACAAUGGAAGACAUCAGGAGAAUGGAGGACGAGACUCAGAAAGAACUAGAAACAAUGCGUAAGAAGGGCUCCGUCCGAGGCACGUCGGCUGCUGAUGCCUAGAUGAGUCCCCUGUAGGUCAGAGGCAUUAUCAAUCUGUGAGAUCUAGGAUUUCUCCCGCCACACCAUGAGGCCAACCUCAGCAGCUCACUGGAGCUACGGAGUCAAGGCCAAGUGAGGGGGACCAGUGCGGCCUGUGAUGACUGAAGCCACCAGUGUCUCAGUGUUGACAUUUCCAGUGUGUGCCUCUGACGACUCCAGCACACGUGCGCACAUGCGCGGGCACACGCACACACAUACUCACACACGGUUGUGAGUGAGUAUGUGUGUGUCUGUCUGUAGCUGUAUGUAAAGCACAUAUGGCUAUAGGCCUAGAUACACACACGAGUGUAUAUAUAUAUAUGUAAAGAUCGAAGGGGUCAGUAUGUUUUCUCCAAAGUACUGCGCCUGUCUUCAACGAAAAUACUAAAGAAAAUAUUUUCAAUAUAUAUCCCUGGAACAGACAUUAAUAGUCAUCAACAUGACACCCUUGAUUGAAAAACCAACUGCCAUGUGGUGCCCUGUGGUGCUGGCUGGCAUGCUCCGUGAAUGCCAGGUGUGGACCAGUGUGUACAGCCUUUGGUUAUGUUUCUGUUUUCAAGUCACCACACACACACACAGUCUCAUCCCAUCAGCAACAACUCCUACAGAAAGAUUUCUUCAAAUUUUUAGAUACUCCAGUGACUCUGGAAUGUAAACUCUGGAUGUAUUUAUAACUAUUUAUUUCUGGGUGGCCACUAUCUUCCAGCCAAAUCCAACAGUAUCUGUCAAGUAAAGAGUCAAAACUCUAUUGGUUUGCCCGAGGGUUGGGGAAAUCCUUUUUUAAAAAUUGCCACUUUUUAUUGGAUUUUUGUAUUUUGAAUUUCAAGUAUUUUUCUACAUCAAAUCUAGAAAGAAAAAAAAAAACAACCAGUGAUGACGGUUUGUGAUUUAUAAUAAACACUAGGCAAUAUUCAGACUCUGGCUAAGCAAACGGCGAUCAAGCAAUUAACCUGAGUGGUAUUGCAGGCUGUGUAGAGCACUUCUGUGGAGUUUUGUUUCUGAAAUGGCUUUUCUGGAAUUACAGCCUGGAGACUAUG